GAUGAACGCUGGCGGCGUGCCUAAUACAUGCAAGUCGAGCGAACAGAUGAGGAGCUUGCUCCUCUGACGUUAGCGGCGGACGGGUGAGUAACACGUGGAUAACCUACCUAUAAGACUGGGAUAACUUCGGGAAACCGGAGCUAAUACCGGAUAAUAUAUUGAACCGCAUGGUUCAAUAGUGAAAGACGGUUUUGCUGUCACUUAUAGAUGGAUCCGCGCCGCAUUAGCUAGUUGGUAAGGUAACGGCUUACCAAGGCAACGAUGCGUAGCCGACCUGAGAGGGUGAUCGGCCACACUGGAACUGAGACACGGUCCAGACUCCUACGGGAGGCAGCAGUAGGGAAUCUUCCGCAAUGGGCGAAAGCCUUACGGAGCAACGCCGCGUGAGUGAUGAAGGUCUUCGGAUCGUAAAACUCUGUUAUUAGGGAAGAACAAAUGUGUAAGUAGCUGUGCACGUCUUGACGGUACCUAAUCAGAAAGCCACGGCUAACUACGUG
rnacentral:rRNA from 1 species